rnacentral:rRNA from 1 species
CGUCGAGCUACUACGGUAGUGAAGUCAUUGAUGCCAUGCUUCCAGGAAAAGCCUCUAAGCUUCAGAUUGUAAGGAAUCGUACCCCAAACCGACACAGGUGGUCGGGUAGAGAAUACCAAGGCGCUUGAGAGAACUCGGGUGAAGGAACUAGGCAAAAUGGUACCGUAACUUCGGGAGAAGGUACGCUCUUGAUGGUGAAGUCCCUUGCGGAUGGAGCUGACGAGAGUCGCAGAUACCAGGUGGCUGCAACUGUUUAUUAAAAACACAGCACUGUGCAAAAUCGUAAGAUGACGUAUACGGUGUGACGCCUGCCCGGUGCCGGAAGGUUAAUUGAUGGGGUUAGCGUAAGCGAAGCUCUUGAUCGAAGCCCCGGUAAACGGCGGCCGUAACUAUAACGGUCCUAAGGUAGCGAAAUUCCUUGUCGGGUAAGUUCCGACCUGCACGAAUGGCGUAAUGAUGGCCACGCUGUCUCCACCCGAGACUCAGUGAAAUUGAAAUCGCUGUGAAGAUGCAGUGUACCCGCGGCUAGACGGAAAGACCCCGUGAACCUUUACUACAGCUUGGCACUGAACAUUGAACCUACAUGUGUAGGAUAGGUGGGAGGCUUUGAAGACGUGACGCCAGUUGCGUUGGAGCCGUCCUUGAAAUACCACCCUUGUAUGUUUGAUGUUCUAACGUUGGCCCCUAAUCGGGGUUGCGGACAGUGCCUGGUGGGUAGUUUGACUGGGGCGGUCUCCUCCCAAAGAGUAACGGAGGAGCACGAAGGUGGGCUAAUCACGGUUGGACAUCGUGAGGUUAGUGCAAUGGCAUAAGCCCGCUUAACUGCGAGAAUGACGGUUCGAGCAGGUGCGAAAGCAGGUCAUAGUGAUCCGGUGGUUCUGAAUGGAAGGGCCAUCGCUCAACGGAUAAAAGGUACUCCGGGGAUAACAGGCUGAUACCGCCCAAGAGUUCAUAUCGACGGCGGUGUUUGGCACCUCGAUGUCGGCUCAUCACAUCCUGGGGCUGAAGUCGGUCCCAAGGGUAUGGCUGUUCGCCAUUUAAAGUGGUACGCGAGCUGGGUUUAGAACGUCGUGAGACAGUUCGGUCCCUAUCUGCCGUGGGCGUUGGAAGAUUGAAGGGGGCUGCUCCUAGUACGAGAGGACCGGAGUGGACGAACCUCUGGUGUUCGGGUUGUGUCGCCAGACGCAUUGCCCGGUAGCUAAGUUCGGAAUCGAUAACCGCUGAAAGCAUCUAAGCGGGAAGCGAGCCCUGAGAUGAGUCUUCCCUGA